ensembl:lincRNA Gm29291 predicted gene 29291
GGAAGAAAAUUGACGGGAGCAUGCCAGAGGAACUCAGGAUGAAGUGAAGAGCCUGCAGUGGGGAGAUCUAGAAGCAUCGGAGCCAUAAAGUAAGGAAGCCUCAAUCAACCCAAGUUCCAGAGGACCCAGUGUGACAGAUACUGGCACAUCCAGGUUGAUAGACUACUGUUCACAAUGGCCACAUUCUGGAGUCAUCCCAGGUGUCCAUCAACAAACGAAUUUGUGAAAUGAAUGUGGUGUGCAUGUACAACAAGGAAUUUCAUUCCGCUAUAAAGAACAAAGGAGGAUGAAAUGACAGCCGACCUCUCACGGAGUGCUGAUGACUGAAAGGAAGUGAGUUAAGACUGCCCUCUGUUUGCCACGCCCAUGCCACUGGGACCAGGAACUGUGCAAGUUCUGUGUAAGUUGUACAUCUGAAGGAGACAUUUCACUUCUGAGUGCCACCGUUGCAGGUUGACAGGUACACUGGAUAAUAAUGAGGUGGAGCACUCAGAACUGAGCCACACUGUGACACAGAAGUCGUUAAUGAAGUGAAGAUGUUUAGCCAGGACUGCUGCAGAGACUCCAGAAAUAAGAGUUAUCUUCAAAGACUUGACAGCGGUCACUAGAGAAUAAAAUUAAACUUUUUACAAGAUGACAGAACUAUCUUCUUAAAGAACACAGAAACAAUCUGAGUUACAUUC